CACCAUUUCCUCGAUGGGCACGUUCUUGGUCUCCGGCAGGAAGAGCGCGACGAAGAUGGUCAUGACCACCACCCAGGCGCCGAAGAAGAAGAAGAGGAUGAACUUGAAGCGGCAAAGCAUGGGGAGGAACGCCUGCGCGAUGAUGAAGGUGCAGAGCAUGUUGACGGACACGUUGAUGCUCUGCCCCGCCGACCGGAUCUCCAGCGGGAAGAUCUCGCUGGGCACCAGCCACCCGAGGGGUCCCCAUGACCAGGCGAACCCGGCCACGUAGGCGCAGAUGAAGAGCACCACGAUGGCGGCGUACGCCUUGGGGAUCUCCGCCACGCCGGAGAACCCGAACUUGGCGCCGAUCAGGCUACCGACGACGAUCUGGCAGGCGAGCAUCUGGGUCCCGCCCUGCAGGAACAGCUUGCGGCGGCCGAGGCGGUCCACGGUGACGAUGGAGACGAAGGUGGCGAAGACGUUGACGAGCCCCGUGAUGACGGCGGACAUGAGGGAGGCGUCGUCUGCGAAGCCCAGCGUCUUGAAGAGCACCGGUGCGUAGAACAUGAUGACGUUGAUGCCGGUGAGCUGCUGGAACAUGGGGAUGGCGAU
rnacentral:lncRNA from 1 species